rnacentral:lncRNA from 1 species
ACUCAUCCACUUCCUUCUCGAAUGCGGUCUUGGGAGGAGCUUCCUCAGUAGUAACCUCUUCGGUGGCUACCUGUUUUCCUUUAGCUUUGGCAGCUGCCUCAGCUUCAGUAUUCGUGCGCAAUGUUGAUGGUGCAAAUAAGCGUCCACUGCGAGUGAAGCCACCAAUUCCCCCAACAUUGUCCACAACGGAGCUACCAAUGUCAGUGUCUUCUUCGUUAACUUUCU